GAGGAAAAGAAACUAACAAGGAUUCCCCUAGUAACGGCGAGUGAAGCGGGAUGAGCUCAAAUUUAAAAUCUUGCAGCCUCAGGUUGUACGAGUUGUAGUCUAGAGAAUCGUUUUCCGCGUUGGCCUGUGUACAAGUCCCUUGGAACAGGGCGUCAUAGAGGGUGAGAAUCCCGUCCUUGACACAGAUUACCAAUGCUUUGUGAUGCGAUCUCAAAGAGUCGAGUUGUUUGGGAAUGCAGCUCAAAAUGGGUGGUAAAUUCCAUCUAAAGCUAAAUAUUGGCGAGAGACCGAUAGCGAACAAGUACCGUGAGGGAAAGAUGAAAAGCACUUUGGAAAGAGAGUUAAACAGUACGUGAAAUUGUUAAAAGGGAAACGAUUGAAGUCAGUCAUGCUCUCCGAGACUCAGCC
rnacentral:rRNA from 1 species